rnacentral:rRNA from 1 species
UACAGAGGUCUCAAGCGUUGUUCGGAUUCAUUGGGCGUAAAGGGUGCGUAGGCGGCGCGGUAAGUCGAGUGUGAAAUCUCGGAGCUUAACUCCGAAACUGCAUCCGAUACUGCCGUGCUUGAGGACUGGAGAGGAGACUGGAAUUUACGGUGUAGCGGUGAAAUGCGUAGAUAUCGUAAGGAAGACCAGUGGCGAAGGCGGGUCUCUGGGCAGGUCCUGACGCUGAGGCACGAAGGUCAGGGGAGCAAACGGG